rnacentral:rRNA from 1 species
CCUACGGGAGGCAGCAGUCGAGAAUCAUUCACAAUGGGGGAAACCCUGAUGGUGCGACGCCGCGUGGGGGAAUGAAGGUCUUCGGAUUGUAAACCCCUGUCAUGUGGGAGCAAAUUAAAAAGAUAGUACCACAAGAGGAAGAGACGGCUAACUCUGUGCCAGCAGCCGCGGUAAUACAGAGGUCUCAAGCGUUGUUCGGAAUCACUGGGCGUAAAGCGUGCGUAGGCUGUUUCGUAAGUCGGGUGUGAAAGGCGCGGGCUCAACCCGCGGACGGCACAUGAUACUGCGAGACUAGAGUAAGGGAGGGGGAACCGGAAUUCUCGGUGUAGCAGUGAAAUGCGUAGAUAUCGAGAGGAACACUCGUGGCGAAGGCGGGUUCCUGGACAUUAACUGACGCUGAGGCACGAAGGCCAGGGGAGCGAAAGGGAUUAGAUACCCCAGUAGUC